AUUACAACAAACGUCUAUUUUGACAGUAAUUUUAUUCAAUCCAUUUGGAACUUCAGUCAAAAUUUUUAGAGUUGAGAUUUUUCUAAGAAAAAUAAUAUAAACUUUUAAAAUAUUCUGCCUUAUAUUAGAAUCCAAUUCAAUUACAGAAAAGUGCAAAAUGUGCGACCGUAUGAACGUUAUCAAUCAACUCCAGUCAAUUAUGUCAAAUAUCAGAGGUGGAUGCGGCGGAUGCUGUGGGGCGUGUUGCCCUCCGGCGCCGUGCAAGCCGUGCUGCGGCGGCGGCUCUCUCGUCACAGUAUACAGUCAAGUAGCAAAUAUCCAGUGACACCUGGCGCUCCGGCUAAAGGCAGAUUUAAAGCGGGCCUAGGCUAGCAAGAACUUGCAUGCAAUUUACAUUACAUUGCCGACUACUAAGAUGCUGUGCUCGCAGUAGGUCAGCCUCCGCGGCCAAUCGCAGCCUUCGACAAGGCAGUCAUAGCUGUCGGGCAUCAACCUGCAUGAGCCAAAUUCUAUAGAUCAUUGAUAAGAUAAUGACGGUAUAUUUUAUUAAGCAAACUGUGAGUUCUGUGCAGUCCUGUUCUUUUGACUUGUAACGUCUUUCAAAUAAACCAUUAUUGUAUUUAA